rnacentral:rRNA from 1 species
UACAGAGGUCUCAAGCGUUGUUCGGAUUCAUUGGGCGUAAAGGGUGCGUAGGUGGCGGGGUAAGUCAGGUGUGAAAUCUCGGGGCUCAACCCCGAAACUGCACUUGAUACUGCCUUGCUCGAGUACUGGAGAGGAGAUUGGAAUUUACGGUGUAGCAGUGAAAUGCGUAGAUAUCGUAAGGAAGACCAGUGGCGAAGGCGAAUCUCUGGACAGUUACUGACACUGAGGCACGAAGGCCAGGGG